AUGGCCUGGACCCCUCUCUUGCUCCCCCUCCUCACUCUCUGCACAGGUUCUGUAGCCUCUUCUGAGCUGACUCAGCCACCUGGGGUGUCUGUGGCCUUGGGACAGACGGCCACCAUCAACUGCCAGGGUGAGAGCGUAGAAAGCUAUAAUGCUAACUGGUACCAGCAGAAGCCAGGCAAGGCCCCCAUGCUGGUAAUCUAUGCUAAUAGUGAGCAGCCCUCAGGGAUCCCUGAACGAUUCUCUGGCUCCAGCUCAGAAGGCUCAGCCACCUUGACCAUCAGUGGAGCCCAGGCUGAGGACGAGGCAGACUAUUACUGUCAGGUGUUUGAUUUUAGCGGUAAUGAAGCUCACAGUGACACAGGCUGA